rnacentral:rRNA from 1 species
ACGCGAGGAACCUUACCAGGUCUUGACAUCCUCUGACACUCCUAGAGAUAGGACGUUCCCCUUCGGGGGACAGAGUGACAGGUGGUGCAUGGUUGUCGUCAGCUCGUGUCGUGAGAUGUUGGGUUAAGUCCCGCAACGAGCGCAACCCUUGUUCUUAGUUGCCAUCAUUUAGUUGGGCACUCUAAGGAGACUGCCGGUGACAAACCGGAGGAAGGUGGGGAUGACGUCAAAUCAUCAUGCCCCUUAUGACCUGGGCUACACACGUGCUACAAUGGACGGUACAAACGGUUGCCAACCCGCGAGGGGGAGCUAAUCCGAUAAAACCGUUCUCAGUUCGGAUUGUAGGCUGCAACUCGCCUACAUGAAGCCGGAAUCGCUAGUAAUCGCGGAUCAGCAUGCCGCGGUGAAUACGUUCCCGGGUCUUGCACUCACCGCCCGU